rfam:Anolis carolinensis chromosome 1, whole genome shotgun sequence.
UGUAAACAUCCUACACUCUCAGCUGUGUAGAUAAGAAGAAAGCUGGGAGAAGGCUGUUUACU